rnacentral:sRNA from 1 species
AAAGAUCGAACACAUGACUUACCAUCGAA